UACGUAGGGGGCGAGCGUUAAUCGGAAUUACUGGGCGUAAAGCGUGCGCAGGCGGCUUCGCAAGUCAGGCGUGAAAUCCCCGGGCUUAACCUGGGAAUGGCGUCUGAAACUACGGAGCUGGAGUGUAGCAGAGGGAGGUAGAAUUCCACGUGUAGCGGUGAAAUGCGUAGAUAUGUGGAGGAAUACCGAUGGCGAAGGCAGCCUCCUGGGCCAACACUGACGCUCAUGCACGAAAGCGUGGGGAGCAAACAGG
rnacentral:rRNA from 1 species